UCGGAUAUGGUGUAACGGCUAACAUUGCCGCCUCUCACCUGCUGAAUCUGCAACUGGGGAUCCCGGAGUUUUCAGUUGCAGGUUCAUCGCGGAUCGCGGCAGCUCGGGGUUCGAUUCCCCGUAUCCGAA